UGUGGAUUAUUGUGAUGUUUUUAUCAGCUGUUUGGAGUCUCAUUCUGAUGGCACCCAUUCACCGUAGAGUAUCCAUUGGUGAGCAUGAUGCAAUGCUACAUUUCUCCAGACCUGUUCUGAUGAUCAUCUACAUUUUUUGGUAAAAUAUUCCUUUAAUGCAUGUUUUGACAAACUGGAUUUUUAAACGAAUCAUUGCCACAAAUGUAAAAGAAUAAUGUUUAUUUUAAUCAACACCUUUUUCCUAACAUGUUUUCCAAGCCAAAAGUAUUAUCACUACAAAGCAGGUAAUUGGGUUAUGAACAUCAGUGGUUUUUGUUUACAAUCUGAUGGCAGUUAUGAGAUGAAUCUUUAUUGGGUGAGCUUUGGUAAAUGUGAGCCUCACUUCCUUCCUUUUUGAUGCUUUGCAUGACUGCAAAACAGCAACAGUAGGCUUGUCAUUUGCUGACAGACUUUUCUUAUCUGAGCACUGGAGUCUGGCAAUCUGAUUGGUGAAGAGCUUGCACCUUCUGUGCUGGAUUAACUUGAAGCAUUUGGUUUGUUAUAUUAAAGCCUGUCAUCUGACUCUUGUACUUGAACAUGAAAAUUGGGCCGCUACUUCUUUGAAACUAAACAAUUUCUUCGGUUUUUGUGCUUGUGUUGCAGUUCUUCCUCUGACACAUGAAUGUUACUAUUUAUGUACUCUUUUUCAAAGUUUAGCACACAUACAUUUCAAAUUUGAAUGUAAUUGAUAUUAAUGUAAAUGACAUAAAAAUGUAAUAUGAAAAUGAUUAAUAUUUAAUACAUUAUUAUUAUUUUUAAUUAUUAUUAUUUAAUUUAAAUACAACUUUUGAGCCUUUCACAUGGUCUAGGAGCCCCUCCUACACAGCAAGAACCAACCAGAUCUUCUUGUGUUAAAGCCUAGGUGGCACUGAUGUGCAGUCAAGACCUAUAAAGCUGCAGAUCUCACAGAUGAAUUCUCACAUUCUGGGUUUACAGGAAGAGUCUCCAUUAUACAAGUUAUGAACUGGAAUCCCACUACAUCAUUACCAGCUGUUUGUGUCAUGCUCUAAAUUUAUCUCCAAUUACCUCAUCAGUGCUAUUAUAAUAGGGCAGAUCUCUGCCCAUGAUUGGGGGUCCCAUCUGACCAUGUAUGAGUGCUAAGGCCUGAGAAUUGGAUUACAGCUUAUCCAUAUCUGCAGCUGUAGCUUCCUAACAAAGCCUGUGGGCCCCUGGGCAUAUUUCAAGCAAGCCAGAAUUCACCAAGGACACUCCUCCUGACUGGAAAAGUGGAAUGGCAGAGGAAUAUCCGGUGCGGUAAUCCUCUUUCCUCUCCUCAACACAUUACCUGACGCAUCAGCAUCGACUGGCUAACACUACACACGGAAGCAUAAUAAGAGUGAUUGGGCCAGAUGCCACCCUGCCCACCUUCCCAGAAUGACUGCUCACAUUUAUUCAUCUACAAGACUGACUGACCUCAUCUCGUACAAACCAGAAACUACAUCUACUGACGUAUCAAAGGUCUGCAUUGCUUAAUGACCUUUACUUGAACCAUGGACAAAUAAAGCCAGACUCUCUGAGCUUCAGGUGCUGCCAAGGCUGUAUUUGAUGUCUGCUAAACUUAAGUAUGGGAAUAGGGAAGGGUCACCUGUCUGUGGUAAGACUGGCAGUUUACCUUCCAAAACACUUGAUGGCAUUGGUAGCAGGACAUCCAGGGGCAGAAGCAAAUAGUAACCAUGGCAGCUUUCUAUUUAAAGAGCUCUGACAACACCUAGUGGUGAGAUGUAUAAUAUCCCUCAUUCUGCCAUAUGUUCUGUGAUGCCAUUGAACUAUGAUGAACUGUGAAAUCUGAUACAACAGUGAGAUGCGGAAAAGGCCAUUUGGAUCCAUUAACCUCAACACAACCCCCCAAAACACCACUCAACCAGGAAAUCGCUCCUCUCAGCACAUCGCCAGCGCUUUUUUGCUCUGGUUAACAAAAGGGAGUUCAGCUGACUGAGUUUACUUUGCUGACCAGAGCACCUUCCUCUCAUUAAUUGACUGUCUUGCUUAAGUUAUUACCAUUGUGAUUACCAUUGUGGGCUUUCCUGAGCGCAGAAUGAAAGAGUUUACAUUGUUUAUUUGUAUAUGUGUGUGUGUGUUGAAAAUAAAUGUUUCUUGUUAGAUUUUCUUUAUAAUUUGUUU